UACGGCCACAUCACGUUAAAACACCGGUUCCUGUACGAUCACCGAAGUUAAGCAACGUCGGCCAUGGUCAGUGUUGGUGACCGUCUGGGAAUACCGGAUGCUGUAAG